rnacentral:rRNA from 1 species
AUUGAACGCUGGCGGCAGGCCUAACACAUGCAAGUCGAACGGCAGCACAGAAGAGCUUGCUCUUUGGGUGGCGAGUGGCGGACGGGUGAGUAAUGUCUGGGAAACUGCCCGAUGGAGGGGGAUAACUACUGGAAACGGUAGCUAAUACCGCAUAACGUCGCAAGACCAAAGUGGGGGACCUUCGGGCCUCACACCAUCGGAUGUGUCCAGAUGGGAUUAGCGAGUGGGUGGGGUAAUGGCUCACCUAGGCGACGAUCCCUAGCUGGUCUGAGAGGAUGAGCAGCCACACUGGAACUGAGACACGGUCCAGACUCCUACGGGAGGCAGCAGUGGGGAAUAUUGGACAAUGGGCGCAAGCCUGAUGCAGCCAUGCCGCGUGUAUGAAGAAGGCCUUCGGGUUGUAAAGUACUUUCAGCGGGGAGGAAGGGGGUGAGGUUAAUAACCUCGCCGAUUGACGUUACCCGCAGAAGGAGCACCGGCUAACUCCGUGCCAGCCGCCGCAGUAA